GGUCCUCGUCCAAGGCGGAUCUGCAUCGGCGAGCUUGUAGUCUUUUACUAUGUAUUCGUUCGGAUCAGUAACGAUGACGAGCGCGCGGUAUCCAUCUCGGCAACUCUCGCGGUCUAGCGAGGUGGGGUGAGAGCCGUUCUCCCAAGCUCCAAUGGUGGCACACUCAGGCAGUGGCUGGUGCGCCAGGGCUCCUACGGUGACAGUGCUGUCGUGGAUGGUCGCCGGAUUUAGGCGGGUACAUCUAGG
rnacentral:lncRNA from 1 species